UUAAAUAAUUUGGCAGUAUUUUUUAAAAUUAGAGGAUUUUGUUAUUUAAUAGAUAAUACACUUUAAAAUUUAUUUAAUUUUAUUUAUUGUAUAUUGUUGUCUUUAGUUAAUUUUAAUUAAAUAUUAGUUAAAAUUAUUAAUUUUAUUUAAUAAGUAAAGUCAAAUCAGCAUGCAUUUUAUAAUUAAAGUUUAAAUGAAAUACAUUUUUAUUAUAAUUUAUGAAUUUAAAUUUGUGAUAAUUUAUUGAAAUUGGAUUUAAAAGUAAAGUUUAAUAAAUUUUAUUUUUGAAUAAAUAUAAAAAUAUGUACAAAUUGCCCGUCGUUUUUAAAUUUUAUUAAAAUAAGUCGUAACCAUAGAA
rnacentral:rRNA from 1 species